CACAAUUAUAGAUGUAUGUAUGUAUGUAUAUAUAUAUAUUUAUACAAUCCUAAAAUAUUUCCCAGCAAGUUUUAAACUUAAAGUUUCCCCAAUCUAAAAUACCAAUAUACAUUCCCAUGUGGUAUCCCCCUUACAUUAUCCCUGACCCUUAUCUCUAAACCUCUCGGCCUUAUCAUUUUUUUUAAAUUUUAGCCAGCUUUCCCUUUUCUAGGUUUCCCAGGUACAGCCGCCUGAGCUUUGUCA